rnacentral:RNase_P_RNA from 2 species
AAGGUGGGACGAUCUGCCGCGCUGCGGAGUUUCGGCUCCGGGUGAGGAAAGUCCGGACAGGGCAGGGCACCCUACUGGGGAAAGCCCAGAUGGGAGUAAUCUUAUGGCACCGUAACAGAAAACAACCGCCUGGCGACAGGCAAGGGUGAAAACGUGAGGCAAGAGCUCACGACGCGCGUCGGCGACGCCGCACGGGUACGAUGUCAGGGCCUGCAAGACCAAAUAUACUGGCAGAUGAGGGCUGCCCGCCCGAUGCCAGGGGGUAGGUUGCGUAGAUAAAUGGCAGAUUCAAAAACAGAAACCGGCUUACGGUCCCGCCUUUUUU